rnacentral:lncRNA from 1 species
GUCAAUGUUUGUGUAGAUGAAACCAUCUCAUGCACUGUGGCUCCAGAGUUUCUGUUACUAGUUUAUGCACUUGGGAGACUGCUUAAAUGGAAGAUGUAGCACAUUUUGCUUUCCCAUUUAUUGUUUGGCCGGCUAUGCCAAUGUGGUGCUAUUGUUUCUUUAAGAAAGUACUUGACAAAAAAAAAAAAAAAAGGAAAAAAAAAAGGAAAAAAAGCAUAGACAUAUUUUUUUAAAGUAUGAGAACAACAAUUCUAUAGAUAGAUGGCUUAAUAAAAUAGCAUGAGGUCUCAUUACCACCAACUUUCAACUUUUUAAUCACUCACAAGUAGCAUACUGUUCACCAAAUUCCAAAUUAUGAGUUUGGGGGUGUAGGGGCAGAAGAUGGAAUUUUUGUAAAGUUAGAAGGCUCUGUUACUCUGUCGGCUCUUAAACUCAGCAAAAUUAGCAAUAUGUUAUCCAAUCUGAACACCUCGAUCAAGAGCAUAGAGUACAUUUUGGGGGAAAAAAAGGAUCUUAUAGGCAAAUGGCAGAACAAAAGAUGAUAAAGUCACUCGUUGAUUUUUGUGCUCUGCUCUAAAACUGAUAUUCAGCAAGUGGAGAAAAUUUUUUUAAAAAUGAGGGAAAAAAUUGCAUAGAUUAAAUCUGUUAAAAACAGCUUCCGCCACCUCCCCCUCAAGUCAUUCUCUGACAUUUACUGGUUUAUAGAAGAUACUCUCCCUUUGUCUAAACAUCUCAAGGAGCAGUAGCUCUCCUAAAAAGCAAUCACUGAUCUCAUUGGGAAGUGUUGGGAAGUAUUUCCUUAUGAGAUGGGGGUUAUCUACUGAUAAGGAAAGAAGAAUUUAUGAGAAAUCAUUGAAAGAGAUGGCUAACAAUCUGUGAAGAUUUUUUUUUUGUUUUCUUUUGUUUUUUACUUUAUACAGUCUUUAUGAAUAUCUUAAUGUUCAAAACCGAUUUGGUUCUUUCUUCUUCUUCUUCUUCUUUUUUUUUUUUUGUAUUGGAAUGAGGGAUGAUAAAUUAAACCCACAUAGACUCUUUAAAACUAUAGGCUAGAUAGAAGUGUAUGUUUGACUUGACUAUUUAAAAUGUUUUUUCUAUUUUUAAUCUUAAAAAAGUGUACUAAUUUAUUAGAGACAGAUCCUGUUUGGCUCUCUUCAUAAGAAAGAAGAAUCACCAGGGCUUUCCCAUCAAUGUUUUCAAAAGAUAAAUCUGAUUUAUCCAUCAUUAUGGCAUCAUUUAUUUUUUAAAAAAAUUUAAUACAAGAAUUGCAAUUCUUUAUGCCCCUCUCUUGCAAUGAUCAUGAAGUUCAAAAUAUGAGGGGUUAAAAACAAGAAGAAAAUUUUGUGGAUUCUUUGUUUUCGGUUUGUUUUCAGUGCUAAUGUUUAAUCCUAUAGUACAUAUUUGCUUAUUGCUAUGUUAAUAUUCUAAAAGACUUUCCUGUUAGGUGUUAGAAACUGAUACAUAGAUAUCUUUUUUGUGAUUUCUAUUUAAAAAAAAAAAAGGAGAUGAGAAGACUGAAGCUUUAAAGUGCAUAUGGUACAGGAUAAAGAUACCAACUGAAAUAACCAAGUCCAUCCUAAAACAAUUUUUUUUUUUUUUUUUUUUUUGGCGGGGGAACUUCUCAUACAUAAGACAGAAGCCCAGGGAAUUUUUGAAACUAUCUCUAUUCCUCCCAGUCCUUAUUCAAUUAAUAUUUGCCUCAAAAUUGUAUAGAGGGGUCACCAAGCUGAAACCCUGUAAUUCAAGGGGCUUCUUUAAAAAAUACAUAUUCUACACAUUCCCUCUUAAUUUAUGACUACACGUUGAUCUUAAACAUGGUCCCUUUUCUUCCUUGUUCUUCAGCUGUCCUUGACAUGGUAUUUAAAGGAAAAAAUAUAUAUAAUUUUAAAAGGGGAACAAAAAAGUUCAAACAUUACUGCCCAAUUGAAAUGUGAGUUAAAAUGGAAAUAGUUUCUCCUGCUUAAUCCCUGCUGAAUCACCUGUCGCCUUCAGAAUUACUUUUCACAACCCUUAUAAUCUACCCUUUUUUUUUUAACUACCCAGGCCUACUGCAUCCUAAAAGUAAACAUUAUCCAUUUCCUUUUGCCCAAAAUGCACUGAUGUAAAAGUAGGGGAAAAAAAAAACCUCAAAGUUCCAAGUCACCCACCCACUGGCCCCAUUUACCUACUGAGAGCAAAGUCACUUCUGUUAAUCCCUUAAUCUGAUUGUUUGGAUAUUUAUCUUGUACCUGCUGCUAAAUACACUGCAGGAGGGACUCUGAAACCUCGAACUGUCUACUCACAUCUCUUAUCUGUAUCUGUGUAUCAUUAGAAUGUCUAUUCAAAAUAUUAAAAACUUUCAAACACCAUGCAGCUUGUAUUCAGUUUACAUAAAGGCCCCAAAUAUCAUGUCAGAUCUUUUGUUACUAAGGGAGUUAAUGAACUAUGAGAACUGGGAUUAUAUCAUGUGUUUUGCUUCAUACGGUUUUAUCACACUUACAAGCCAAGUGUGAUAAAUACACAUACAGACACUGAAUUUUUUUUCCCUGCUACUUUGAAACCAGGAAAUAAUGAUUGGUCAUUCAUUUUAUCUGUCUUAGUUCAAGAGCAUAUUUUUUAUUAAAUUAACUCUGAUUGUAUUUGAAAUCAUUAUUCAUUUAUGGCAGAGGAAUAUCAAUCCUAAUGACUUCUAAAACUGUAACUAACUGAAUCAUUAUCUUACAUUUACUGUUAAGUAAGCAUAUUUGGAAAAAUGUAUGGCUAGAGCGUCAUAAUAAAAUGAUAUAUCUUUCUUUAGUAAUUACAUUAAAAUUAAUCACAUUUGAUUAAUUAGUUCUUUUGGACAAUGUUGGUGUGUCAUUCCUUAAGAAUUCUGUUGUUCUGUAGCAUUUCUAUCAAUUAAGGUCACUGCAACAAAUAAACAAGAAAACUUACCCAGAAAAAAAGUAAAACUAAUCAUACAACAGAAUGGAGAUAUCUUACAGAAUUUACAGAUUAUAUAUAUAUUUUUAAUUUUUUUAUUGGAGUUCAAUUUGCCAACAUUUAGCAUAACACACAGUGCUCAUCCUGCCAAAUGCCCCCCUCAGUGCCCAUCACCCAGUCAUCCCAACCCCCUGCCCACCUCCCCUUCUACUACCCCUUGUUCAUUUCCCAGAGUUAGGUGUCGUGUUUUGUCACCCUCACUGAAAUUUUCACUCAUUUUCUCUCCGUUUAUUCCCUUUUGCUAAUUUUUAUAUUCCCCAAAUGAAUGAGACCAUAUAAUGUUUGUCCUUUUCCAAUUGACUUAUUUCACUCAGCAUAAUACCCUCCAGUUCCAUCCAUGUCGAAGCAAAUGGUGGGUAUUUGUCGUUUCUAAAUGCUGGGACACCUGCACCCCGAUGUUUAUAGCAGCAAUGUCCACAAUAGCCAAACUGAAAGGAGCCUCGGUGUCCAUCAAAAGAUGAAUGGAUAAACAAGAUGUGGUUUAUGUAUACAAUGGAAUAUUACUCAUCCAUUACAGAUUAUAUUUAAAAAUAAAUGUUUCAAAGAACUUGUA